rnacentral:rRNA from 1 species
AACGAACGCUGGCGGCGUGGAUAAGAUAUGCAAGUCGAACGGAAUUUGCAGCAAUGCAGGUUUAGUGGCGGACGGGUGCGUAACACGUGAGUCAUCUGCCCAAAAGACUGGGAUAGCCCAUGGAAACGUGGAUUAAUACCGGAUGUGCCUGAGAAGGCAAAGGCGCUGCAAGGUGCCGCUUUUGGAUGAGCUCGCGGCCUAUCAGCUAGUUGGCGGGGUAAUGGCCCACCAAGGCGACGACGGGUAGCUGGUCUGAGAGGAUGACCAGCCACACUGGAACUGAGACACGGUCCAGACACCUACGGGUGGUAGCAGUCGAGAAUCAUUCACAAUGGGCGAAAGCCUGAUGGUGUGACGCCGCGUGGAGGACGAAGGCCUUCGGGUUGUAAACUCCUGUCAAGUGGGGGUAAAGCUUGGGGUUUAACUGGCUCCAAGUGUGAUAGUACCACUAGAGGAAGGGACGGCUAACUCUGUGCCAGCAGCCGCCGUAAAUAC